AACGAACGCUGGCGGCAUGCCUAACACAUGCAAGUCGAACGAGACCUUCGGGUCUAGUGGCGCACGGGUGCGUAACGCGUGGGAACCUGCCCUUAGGUUCGGAAUAACUCCCCGAAAGGGGUGCUAAUACCGGAUAAUGUCUUCGGACCAAAGAUUUAUCGCCUUUGGAUGGGCCCGCGUUGUAUUAGCUAGUUGGUAGGGUAAAAGCCUACCAAGGAGAAGAUCCAUAGCUGGUCUGAGAGGAUGAUCAGCCACACUGGGACUGGGACACGGCCCAGACUCCUGCGGGAGGCAGCAGUGGGGAAUAUUGGACGAUGGGCGAAAGCAUGAUCCAGCAAUGCCGCGUGAGUGAUGAAGGCGUUAGGGUUGUAAAGCUCUUUUACCCGGGAUGAUAAUGACAGUACCGGGAGAAUAAGCCCCGGCUAACUCCGUG
rnacentral:rRNA from 1 species